rnacentral:rRNA from 1 species
CUGGUUGGUGGGGUAACGGCCUACCAAGGCGACGAUCGAUAGCUGGUCUCAGAGGAUGAUCAGCCAGACUGGGACUGAGACACGGCCCAGACUCCUACGGGAGGCAGCAGUUAGGAAUUUUGGGCAAUGGGCGCAAGCCUGACCCAGCAACGCCGCGUGGGUGACGAAGGCCUUCGGGUUGUAAAGCCCUUUUCUGAGGGAAGAUGAUGACGGUACCUCAGGAAGAAGCACCGGCUAACUACGUGCCAGCAGCCGCGGUAAUACGUAGGGUGCGAGCGUUGCCCGGAUUUAUUGGGCGUAAAGGGCGCGUAGGCGGUCACGCACGUCCGUUGUGAAAUCGCUCGGCUCAACUGGGCGGGGUCAGCGGAUACGGCGUGGCUGGAGCAAGCUAGGGGGCAAUGGAAUUCCCGGUGUAGUGGUGGAAUGCGUAGAUAUCGGGAGGAACACCAGUGGCGAAGGCGGUUGCCUGGAGCUUUGCUGACGCUGAUGCGCGAAAGCGUGGGGAGCGAUCCGGAUUAGAUACCCGGGUAGUCCACGCCGUAAACGAUGCGGACUAGGUGUCGGGGGUAUCGACCCCCUCGGCGCCGCAGCUAACGCAUUAAGUCCGCCGCCUGGGGACUACGGCCGCAAGGCUAAAACUCAAAGGAAUUGACG